rnacentral:rRNA from 1 species
GAUGAACGCUGGCGGCGUGCCUAAUACAUGCAAGUCGAGCGAACAGAUGAGGAGCUUGCUCCUCUGACGUUAGCGGCGGACGGGUGAGUAACACGUGGAUAACCUACCUAUAAGACUUGGAUAACUUCGGGAAACCGGAGCUAAUACCGGAUAAUAUAUUGAACCGCAUGGUUCAAUAGUGAAAUACGGUUUUGCUUCCACUUAUAGAUGGAUCCGCGCCGCAUUAGCUAGUUGGUAAGGUAACGGCUUACCAAGGCAACGAUGCGUAGCCGACCUGAGAGGGUGAUCGGCCACACUGGAACUGAGACACGGUCCAGACUCCUACGGGAGGCAGCAGUAGGGAAUCUUCCGCAAAGGGCGAAAGCCUGACGGAGCAACGCCGCGUGAGUGAUGAAGGUCUUCGGAUCGUAAAACUCUGUUAUUAGGGAAGAACAAAUGUGUAAGUAACUAUGCACGUCUUGACGGUACCUAAUCAGAAAGCCACGGCUAACUACGUG